rnacentral:tRNA from 1 species
GGCCCUUUGGUGCAGUGGAUAGCACAUUGGACUUCUAAUCUAAAGGUCACGGGUUCGAUCCCCACAAGGGCUC